rnacentral:miRNA from 1 species
GUACAUCUCGCAUUGUGACCAU